GAUGAACGCUGGCGGCGUGCCUAAUACAUGCAAGUAGAACGCUGAAGGAGGAGCUUGCUCUUCUGGAUGAGUUGCGAACGGGUGAGUAACGCGUAGGUAACCUGCCUGGUAGCGGGGGAUAACUAUUGGAAACGAUAGCUAAUACCGCAUGACAACAGUUAUUGCAUGAUAACUGUUUAAAAGGGGCAACUGCUCCACUACCAGAUGGACCUGCGUUGUAUUAGCUAGUUGGUGAGGUAACGGCUCACCAAGGCGACGAUACAUAGCCGACCUGAGAGGGGGAUCGGCCACACUGGGACGGAGACACGGCCCAGACUCCUACGGGAGGCAGCAGUAGGGAAACGUCGGCAAGGGACGGAAGUCUGACCGAGCAACGCCGCGUGAGGGAAGAAGGUUUUCGGAUCGUAAAGCUCUGUUGUAAGAGAAGAAAGAGUGUGAGAGUGGAAAGUUCACACUGUGACGGUAUCUUACCAGAAAGGGACGGCUAACUACGUG
rnacentral:rRNA from 1 species